AGGGAUAGCCUACUGGAUCGACCUCUUCAAGGACAAAGUUCAGGAAGGCUGUGUCAUUACAUCCAACCGUUUGCACAUUGAAUGCUUAAGGUUCUGUUUCACUGAUCUAAUUCAAGAGGAACUGAACCACAUUUCCAUUGACUUGAAUCAGCACAGGGUAAGAAGGAUGCGUAACGCUGAGAGUCCCCAUGGGAAGCCAGACAUCAUGUUCUUCAUGCCGGAAGUAUAUGGAACACAUGAUUAUAAAUUCCCGGCGUCGGUUGACGACAUCAGGGCAGCUGAACUGUUAACAACCACUCGACCCCUUGACAGAGGAUGCUCACCAGAGUUCAAUA